rnacentral:rRNA from 1 species
AACGAACGCUGGCGGCAUGCCUAACACAUGCAAGUCGAACGAGAUCUUCGGGUCUAGUGGCGCACGGGUGCGUAACGCGUGGGAAUCUGCCCUUUGGUUCGGAAUAACAGUUGGAAACGACUGCUAAUACCGGAUGAUGACGAAAGUCCAAAGAUUUAUCGCCAGAGGAUGAGCCCGCGUAGGAUUAGCUAGUUGGUGUGGUAAAGGCGCACCAAGGCGACGAUCCUUAGCUGGUCUGAGAGGAUGAUCAGCCACACUGGGACUGAGGCACGGCCCAGACGCCUCCGGGAGGCAGCAGUGGGGACUAUUGGAAAAUGGGCGAAAGCCUGAUCCAGCAAUGCCGCGUGAGUGAUGAAGGCCUUAGGGUUGUAAAGCUCUUUUACCCGGGAUGAUAAUGACAGUACCGGGAGAAUAAGCUCCGGCUAACUCCGUGCCAGCCGCCGCCGUAA